rnacentral:rRNA from 1 species
GACAGAGGCCCCAAGCGUUUAGGCGGAAUCACUGGGCUUAAAGCGUGUGUAGGCGGAUCGUUAAGUGUCUUGUGAAAUCCCACGGCUCACCCGUGGAACUGCUGGGCAUACUGGCGAUCUUGGGCCAACUAGGGGCAGUCGGAACAAGCGGUGGAGCGGUGAAAUGCGUAGAUAUCGCUUGGAACGCCGAAGGUGAAAACAGACUGCUGGGGUUGCGCCGACGCUGAGACACGAAAGCCAGGGGAGCAAACGGG